GUCUGGAUUCUCUGUGUUACCCAGGCUGGCUUUGGAACUCUCAUCGAUCUACCUGCCUCUGCCUCCCAAGUGCUGGAUUACAGGUGUCCAGCACUGUACCUGCCUAUGUGGCACCAAGGCAGGAACCCACUGCUCUGCGCAAACUGAGUGAAAUUUACUCCCUCUGCCAAACCUCCAGAGUCACAGGAGGGUGCUUGAGACUGUGGGCCUCAAAAGGGAAAGUCUGGGGUGGGGGACCUGAGCAUUUGAUUGUCUCUCCCAUAACCCAGGUGACAAGCAAGUCUGUAACAUCCGCACAUUCCUCCGCUCACCCACCUGCCACAGCUCAGACUAGUGAGCCGACACCGGGCAGCGGGCACUCCUCCAAAACUCUCAGCUCUUCUGGUACCUCAUCUUCUCUAGCACGAUACACUCCACUGGCAGGUGGUGAGCGUCCCAAGCACUCAUUCUGGAAAUGGCACCAAAUGGAAUCACGUGUCCUGGGACCUUUGCCAGCACCCACAUGGAGGCUCACAAUCAUCUGUAACUCCAGUUCCAGGGGAUCUGAUGUCUUCUUCUGGCAUCUGUGGUAUUGCAUGCAUUUGGUACACAGGAUAUUUAUGCAGGCAAAAUAUCUAC